UGGGGAAUUUUCCGCAAUGGGCGCAAGCCUGACGGAGCAAUACCGCGUGAGGGAGGAAGGCUUUUGGGUUGUAAACCUCUUUUCUCAAGGAAGAAGACCUGACGGUACUUGAGGAAUCAGCACCGGCUAACUCCGUGCCAGCAGCCGCGGUAAUACGGAGGGUGCGAGCGUUAAUCGGAAUUACUGGGCGUAAAGCGCGCGUAGGCGGUUUUGUAAGUCGGAUGUGAAAGCCCCGGGCUUAACCUGGGAAUUGCAUUCGAUACUGCAUAACUAGAGUACGGUAGAGGGAAGUGGAAUUCCGGGUGUAGCGGUGAAAUGCGUAGAUAUCCGGAGGAACACCAGUGGCGAAGGCGACUUCCUGGGCCAGUACUGACGCUGAGGUGCGAAAGCGUGGGGAGCAAACAGGAUUAGAUACCCCCGUAGUCC
rnacentral:rRNA from 1 species